rnacentral:rRNA from 1 species
CAUCAUAAUUUUUAUGGAGAGUUUGAUCCUGGCUCAGGAUGAACGCUGGCGGCGUGCCUAAUACAUGCAAGUCGAGCGAACGGACGAGAAGCUUGCUUCUCUGAUGUUAGCGGCGGACGGGUGAGUAACACGUGGAUAACCUACCUAUAAGACUGGGAUAACUUCGGGAAACCGGAGCUAAUACCGGAUAAUAUUUUGAACCGCAUGGUUCAAAAGUGAAAGACGGUCUUGCUGUCACUUAUAGAUGGAUCCGCGCUGCAUUAGCUAGUUGGUAAGGUAACGGCUUACCAAGGCAACGAUGCAUAGCCGACCUGAGAGGGUGAUCGGCCACACUGGAACUGAGACACGGUCCAGACUCCUACGGGAGGCAGCAGUAGGGAAUCUUCCGCAAUGGGCGAAAGCCUGACGGAGCAACGCCGCGUGAGUGAUGAAGGUCUUCGGAUCGUAAAACUCUGUUAUUAGGGAAGAACAUAUGUGUAAGUAACUGUGCACAUCUUGACGGUACCUAAUCAGAAAGCCACGGCUAACUACGUGCCAGCAGCCGCGGUAAUACGUAGGUGGCAAGCGUUAUCCGGAAUUAUUGGGCGUAAAGCGCGCGUAGGCGGUUUUUUAAGUCUGAUGUGAAAGCCCACGGCUCAACCGUGGAGGGUCAUUGGAAACUGGAAAACUUGAGUGCAGAAGAGGAAAGUGGAAUUCCAUGUGUAGCGGUGAAAUGCGCAGAGAUAUGGAGGAACACCAGUGGCGAAGGCGACUUUCUGGUCUGUAACUGACGCUGAUGUGCGAAAGCGUGGGGAUCAAACAGGAUUAGAUACCCUGGUAGUCCACGCCGUAAACGAUGAGUGCUAAGUGUUAGGGGGUUUCCGCCCCUUAGUGCUGCAGCUAACGCAUUAAGCACUCCGCCUGGGGAGUACGACCGCAAGGUUGAAACUCAAAGGAAUUGACGGGGACCCGCACAAGCGGUGGAGCAUGUGGUUUAAUUCGAAGCAACGCGAAGAACCUUACCAAAUCUUGACAUCCUUUGACAACUCUAGAGAUAGAGCCUUCCCCUUCGGGGACAAAGUGACAGGUGGUGCAUGGUUGUCGUCAGCUCGUGUCGUGAGAUGUUGGGUUAAGUCCCGCAACGAGCGCAACCCUUAAGCUUAGUUGCCAUCAUUAAGUUGGGCACUCUAAGUUGACUGCCGGUGACAAACCGGAGGAAGGUGGGGAUGACGUCAAAUCAUCAUGCCCCUUAUGAUUUGGGCUACACACGUGCUACAAUGGACAAUACAAAGGGCAGCGAAACCGCGAGGUCAAGCAAAUCCCAUAAAGUUGUUCUCAGUUCGGAUUGUAGUCUGCAACUCGACUACAUGAAGCUGGAAUCGCUAGUAAUCGUAGAUCAGCAUGCUACGGUGAAUACGUUCCCGGGUCUUGUACACACCGCCCGUCACACCACGAGAGUUUGUAACACCCGAAGCCGGUGGAGUAACCUUUUAGGAGCUAGCCGUCGAAGGUGGGACAAAUGAUUGGGGUGAAGUCGUAACAAGGUAGCCGUAUCGGAAGGUGCGGCUGGAUCACCUCCUUUCUA